rnacentral:rRNA from 1 species
AACGAACGCUGGCGGCAGGCUUAACACAUGCAAGUCGAACGCCCCGCAAGGGGAGUGGCAGACGGGUGAGUAACGCGUGGGAACAUACCCUUUUCUACGGAAUAGCUCUGGGAAACUGGAAUUAAUACCGUAUACGCCCUACGGUGGAAAGAUUUAUCGGGGAAGGAUUGGCCCGCGUUGGAUUAGCUAGUUGGUGGGGUAAAGGCCUACCAAGGCGACGAUCCAUAGCUGGUCUGAGAGGAUGAUCAGCCACAUUGGGACUGAGACACGGCCCAAACUCCUACGGGAAGCAGCAGUGGGGAAUAUAGGACAAUGGGCGCAAGCCUGAUCCAGCCAUGCCGCGUGAGUGAUGAAGGCCUUAGGGUUGUAAAGCUCUUUCACCGAUGAAGAUAAUGACGGUAGUCGGAGAAGAAGCCCCGGCUAACUUCGUG